AAUGAACGCUGGCGGCAUGCCUAACACAUGCAAGUCGAACGAGACCUUCGGGUCUAGUGGCGCACGGGUGCGUAACGCGUGGGAAUCUGCCCUUGGGUUCGGAAUAACAGUUAGAAAUGACUGCUAAUACCGGAUGAUGUCGUAAGACCAAAGAUUUAUCGCCCAAGGAUGAGCCCGCGUAGGAUUAGCUAGUUGGUGAGGUAAAAGCUCACCAAGGCGACGAUCCUUAGCUGGUCUGAGAGGAUGAUCAGCCACACUGGGACUGAGACACGGCCCAGACUCCUACGGGAGGCAGCAGUGGGGAAUAUUGGACAAUGGGCGAAAGCCUGAUCCAGCAAUGCCGCGUGAGUGAUGAAGGCCUUAGGGUUGUAAAGCUCUUUUACCCGGGAUGAUAAUGACAGUACCGGAAGAAUAAGCUCCGGCUAACUUCGUGCCAGCAGCCGCCGUAACAC
rnacentral:rRNA from 1 species